CAGACAUUUGCCACUUCAGAAUUUUUUUCUGGGUCAGCAGACUUUGCACUUUGCAAGUUGGCUUUCUUGGAGAAUUGCCUUCUCGGACAAUGUGGACAUGCUGCUAACCAGUCUAUCCUCAGGCUGAAUAAAAGUGGUGGUGAAGGUGUCAGCAGCCCUCAUGCCUAAGGUGUCCCAUCUCUCAUAAGCCAUGGCACUACUGCUGAUGGUGGAUUGGGGAUGAUCCUUCCUUAAAUUUCAACUUGUGAUUAGUACAUGUCAAGGAUGAUGGUGGGUUUUAUUUUUCUUAUUGCAAUAAAUUUGGCAUAUGAAUGAUUGUUUAUUGUGUAAACUAAC